rnacentral:rRNA from 1 species
UACGUAGGGUGCAAGCGUUGUCCGGAAUUAUUGGGCGUAAAGAGCUUGUAGGCGGUUUGUCGCGUCUGCUGUGAAAUUUCGGGGCUCAACCCCGAACUUGCAGUGGGUACGGGCAGACUAGAGUGUGGUAGGGGAGACUGGAAUUCCUGGUGUAGCGGUGAAAUGCGCAGAUAUCAGGAGGAACAUCGGUGGCGAAGGCGGGUCUCUGGGCCGACAUUGACGCUGAGGAGCGAAAGCGUGGGGAGCGAACAGG